GACGAACGCUGGCGGCGUGCUUAACACAUGCAAGUCGAGCGGUAAGGCCCUUUCGGGGGUACACGAGCGGCGAACGGGUGAGUAACACGUGGGUGACCUGCCUUUAGCUCUGGGAUAAGCCUGGGAAACUGGGUCUAAUACCGGAUAUGACUCCGCGGUGCAUGCUGUGGGGUGGAAAGCCUUGUGCGGCUGGAGAUGGGCCCGCGGCCUAUCAGCUUGUUGGUGGGGUGAUGGCCUACCAAGGCGACGACGGGUAGCCGGCCUGAGAGGGCACCGGCCACACUGGGACUGAGACACGGCCCAGACUCCUACGGGAGGCAGCAGUGGGGAAUCUUGCGCAAUGGGCGAAAGCCUGACGCAGCGACGCCGCGUGAGGGAUGACGGCC
rnacentral:rRNA from 1 species